AUCGAACGCUGGCGGCAUGCCUUACACAUGCAAGUCGAACGGCAGCACGGGGCAACCUGGUGGCGAGUGGCGAACGGGUGAGUAAUGCAUCGGAACGUACCUUUCAGUGGGGGAUAACGUAGCGAAAGUUACGCUAAUACCGCAUAUUCUGUGAGCAGGAAAGCAGGGGAUCGCAAGACCUUGCGCUGAUUGAGCGGCCGAUGUCAGAUUAGCUAGUUGGUGAGGUAAAGGCUCACCAAGGCGACGAUCUGUAGCGGGUCUGAGAGGAUGAUCCGCCACACUGGAACUGAGACACGGUCCAGACUCCUACGGGAGGCAGCAGUGGGGAAUUUUGGACAAUGGGGGCGACCCUGAUCCAGCCAUGCCGCGUGAGUGAAGAAGGCCUUCGGGUUGUAAAGCUCUUUCGGCCGGGAAGAAAUCGCACGGGCUAAUACCCUGUGUGGAUGACGGUACCGGAAUAAGAAGCACCGGCUAACUACGUGCCAGCAGCCGCCGUAAAAC
rnacentral:rRNA from 1 species